GAUGAACGCUGGCGGCGUGCCUAAUACAUGCAAGUCGAGCGAAUGGAUUAAGAGCUUGCUCUUAUGAAGUUAGCGGCGGACGGGUGAGUAACACGUGGGUAACCUGCCCAUAAGACUGGGAUAACUCCGGGAAACCGGGGCUAAUACCGGAUAACAUUUUGAACCGCAUGGUUCGAAAUUGAAAGGCGGCUUCGGCUGUCACUUAUGGAUGGACCCGCGUCGCAUUAGCUAGUUGGUGAGGUAACGGCUCACCAAGGCCACGAUGCGUAGCCGACCGGAGAGGGUGAUCGGCCACACUGGGACUGAGACCCGGCACGGAUCCCUACGGGAGGUAGCAGUAGGGAAUCUUCCGCAAUGGACGAAAGUCUGACGGAGCAACGCCGCGUGAGUGAUGAAGGCUUUCGGGUCGUAAAACUCUGUUGUUAGGGAAGAACAAGUGCUAGUUGAAUAAGCUGGCACCUUGACGGUACCUAACCAGAAAGCCACGGCUAACUACGUGCCAGCCGCCGCUGUAA
rnacentral:rRNA from 1 species